rnacentral:lncRNA from 1 species
AUGAAAGUUUCAAAAUGGAAGUUAGGAAUUCUUUGUUUUAUAAGUGGAUGUGUAAUGUCUGGUCAGGUGGAUGCUUGUAUUCCUGAUAGAGUUCCAAUGGGACUCUUAAUCACAGAUUGCCCUUAUCCACAACUGAAAACUCUUGAGAUGCAGAGGACUCUUGCCCUAAAAAUCAUUCUUUCCUUUUCUUUUUUUCUACCCACAGAAGCCCCAAGACAGCAACCUGCUGAACCUGAACCAGCCCCAAGGCAACAAACUAGGAAAAGUAAAGGAGAACCAGGCGAACCACCUGAAGGAGAACCAGGUCCACCACCUGAAGGAGAACCAGGUCCACCACCUGAAGGAGAACCAGGUCCACCACCUGAAGGCUCUUCACUUCUUCUAAGGGAGGAGCCAUCUCAGACCUAGCCACAAGCCUACUCACACCAAUAUCUUCAAGGAGAGAAGAAGAAGAAGAAAUAGGUAUUUGGAAAGAUUUCUAUUCUUUAGAUGUGCUGAGAUCAGCUGAACAUAACAAUAUCUAAUUUUUCCACCCAUUUUAUAUUUGGGUCCCUUCAUUUCUCUUCUAUCUUCUACUUACACUUAUGAAAGCUUAAAUGUAUGGAUGAUUUUGUGAUGAAUAUGAACUCUGGCCAAGUGGAUACUUGCAUUCUUCAAGUAAUUCCACUGGUCCUUCAUCAAUAUUACUUUAUCCACAUCUGAAACCUCUUGAGAUUCAUAGGACUCUUGCCUAAACAUUACUCAUUUUUUAUUUUUUCUACCCAGGAGAACCCAGGCGAACCACCUGAAGGUAAGUAAUAUGUCAUCUCUAAACACUCCUUUCUUUCCCCUUUUCUUGAGGACCCUAGACCUUGUCCUCAUUUUAAACCAUUUGGCACUCCACUCUUAAAGUUCAGUACCAAGAAGAGAGGGUAAUAAUGAACUAACAGGGUGGUCAGCUUAAAAGGCUUGUUUUCUCU